UUAAUUGAAGCCAAAGAGAGGUGUGUCACUGUUAAUGAUAAGAAUGAAUUACACAAUUCCAAUUAAA
rnacentral:tRNA from 1 species